rnacentral:rRNA from 1 species
AACGAACGCUGGCGGCAGGCUUAACACAUGCAAGUCGAACGCGUGUAGCAAUACACGAGUGGCGCACGGGUGAGUAACGCGUGGAUAUCUGCCUUUUGGUUCGGAAUAACCCCGGGAAACUGGGGCUAAUACCGGAUGGUUCCUUCGGGAUAAAGAUUUAUCGCCAAAAGAUGAGUCCGCGUACGAUUAGCUAGUUGGUGAGGUAAUGGCUCACCAAGGCGACGAUAGUUAGCUGGUCUGAGAGGACGAUCAGCCACACUGGGACUGAGACACGGCCCAGACUCCUACGGGAGGCAGCAGGGGGGAAUAUUGGAAAAUGGGGGCAACCCUGAUCCAGCCAUGCCGCGUGGGUGAUGAAGGCCUUCGGGUUGUAAAGCUCUUUUGGCGGGGACGAUGAUGACGGUACCCGCAGAAGAAGCCCCGGCUAACUUCGUGCCAGGCGCCGCAGUAA